rnacentral:rRNA from 1 species
CACGUAGGGCGCAAGCGUUGUUCGGAUUUACUGGGCGUAAAGGGCGCGUAGGCGGCGGGUCAAGUCGAGUGUGAAAGCCCCGGGCUCAACCUGGGAAUUGCGCUCGAGACUGGUCUGCUUGAGUUCGGGAGAGGAGAGUGGAAUUCCCAGUGUAGAGGUGAAAUUCGUAGAUAUUGGGAAGAACACCGGUGGCGAAGGCGGCUCUCUGGACCGAGACUGACGCUGAGGCGCGAAAGCGUGGGGAGCAAACAGG